GAUGAACGCUGGCGGCGUGCCUAAUACAUGCAAGUCGAGCGAAUGGAUUAAGAGCUUGCUCUUAUGAAGUUAGCGGCGGACGGGUGAGUAACACGUGGGUAACCUGCCCAUAAGACUGGGAUAACUCCGGGAAACCGGGGCUAAUACCGGAUAACAUUUUGAACCGCAUGGUUCGAAAUUGAAAGGCGGCUUCGGCUGUCACUUAUGGAUGGACCCGCGUCGCAUUAGCUAGUUGGUGAGGUAACGGCUCACCAAGGCAUCGAUGCGUAGCCGACCUGAGAGGGUGAUCGGCCACACUGGGACUGAGACACGGCCCAGACUCCUACGGGAGGCAGCAGUAGGGAAUCUUCCGCAAUGGACGAAAGUCUGACGGAGCAACGCCGCGUGAGUGAUGAAGGCUUUCGGGUCGUAAAACUCUGUUGUUAGGGAAGAACAAGUGCUAGUUGAAUAAGCUGGCACCUUGACGGUACCUAACCAGAAAGCCACGGCUAACUACGUGCCAGCCGCCGCAGUAAGAC
rnacentral:rRNA from 1 species